UGAUGAGAAGGUGGACUACGUUCAGGU
rnacentral:piRNA from 1 species